GAUGAACGUUGGCGGCGUGCCUAAUACAUGCAAGUCGGACGAGGAACCUGGUAUUCGUAUCGGGAGCUCCUAGUGGCGAACGGGUGAGUAACGCGUUGGUGACCUGCCCCAAAGAGAGGGACAACAGUUCGAAAGGACUGCUAAUACCUCAUGUUGUCACGAGAGUUAGAGGUCUCGUGUCUAAAGGAGUAAUCCGCUUUGGGAGGGGCCUGCGUCCCAUCAGCUAGUUGGUAGGGUAACGGCCUACCAAGGCUACGACGGGUAGGGGACCUGAGAGGGUGGUCCCCCACAAUGGAACUGAAACACGGUCCAUACACCUACGGGUGGCAGCAGUAGGGAAUAUUGCCCAAUGGACGAAAGUCUGAGGCAGCAACGCCGCGUGCGCGAUGAAGGCCUUCGGGUUGUAAAGCGCUUUUGUGAGGGAAGAGAAAGGACGGUACCUCACGAAUAAGGAUCGGCUAACUACGUG
rnacentral:rRNA from 1 species